UCACAAGGUAGGGGGUACGACAGGAGCUGCAGAAUCUGUCGAAAUGGGAAUAGUGAUAGUGAUAUGCAGGGCUUUUUGUUACCUGCAUUAAAUAAAAUAGGAUCUGGAAAUACUUGUUCAGAAUUUGAUUUAUAGUAACCGUUUAAAGUUGUUGCCUCUUCUAGCAUUUAUUUACAGCUUAACAAUUAGAUUAUGUAUUAAGUAUAAAUAACAGUUCUAUAGCUAGCAUCCAGUAUCUACCCCAUAAUUAAGAAAAAUAAUAUCCUCUGCCCUUACUCUUAUUAUAUGGAGACCAUCUCCUUCCCGCCAGCUCAGAGGUAACUAUAUCCCUGAAUGUGGCAUUUAUCAUAACCUUGCUUUUGUUGAUAUGACACUAUCUACAUAUGCAGUGAGACAAUAUGUUUUUAGUUUUAUUUGUAUUAAAUUUUACAUACACGGAAUUACACUUUGUGUGCCCUUCAACUUGAUUUUUUCUUGUAAUUAUGUGUUAGAUGAUAAUAAUUGUAAUGGGAAAAAAUGGAGAAACCAUAGUGAGGUUAUGGGCACUGGAAAUGCCAUCAUUGAGGAGGUGAGGAACGUGCUGAAAUUUUGCACAUGGUGUCGGAGUGGUGCUCACUGAGAAGUAUCAUAAUGCCUUUAUGGUUAAGACAGUGCGCCAAUACGGCACUGGUGCUGGGAUAGAAGGGUCUGUCAAGCUUCACCCAAAAUUCUGUAUGGGGUUUCUAGAAAAUGACUUUGAAUGCCUAUAAAACGUUAAGUUUUAUCAAGUAUUUAUAAAGCUGACAUUCUCACGAUUUUGAGUCUUGAAAUCCGCAGUUGAAUAUAACUCUUUUUUUUUUUUUUUGUCUUUUUUCUUUUUUUUGUUGUUGUUGUUGUUAUUGUUGCCAUUUCUUGGGCCGCUCCCGCGGCACAUGGAGGUUCCCAGGCUAGGGGUUGAAUCGGAGCUGUAGCCAUCGGCCUACACCAGAGCCACAGCAACGCGGGAUCCGAGCCGCGUCUGCAACCUACAUCACAGCUCAUGGCAACACCGGAUCAUUAACCCACUGAGCAAGGGCAGGGACCGAACCCGCAACCUCAUGGUUCCUAGUCGGAUUCGUUAACCACUGUGCCACGACGGGAACUCCGAAUAUAACUCUUUUUAAUUUCAUCUUUAAUAUAGUUCAUUAAAGUUUUACAAUUUUUUUCCACAAAAUUCUUGUAUAUUUUUAAGGUCUAUUUUUAUGUAAUUAAUAAUUUUGAUGUUUAUUGCAAGUGUUACUUUUUAAUUUCAUAGUCUUAAUACUUAUGUACAGAUGUUAUAUAGUGGUUUUGAUUCCAACAUAUAGCUUCACUCAUUAGUUCUGUAUGUAAAUAGUGAUCAUUUUUAUUUUUCUUUCAAAUAUUUAUAUUUUCGUCUUUUUUUCUUACUUCACUGCAUUGCCAAUAUCCUUCAGGAUAUUGAAUAGAACUGCCAGUAGGAGGAGAUUCUUUUCUUUCUUUUCUUCUUUCUUUUUUUUUUUUUCCUUAAAGGCUGCACCUGGGGUGUAUGGAAGUUCUGAGGCUAGGGGUAGAAUAGAAGCUGUAGCUGCUGGCCUAUGCCACAGCCAUGGCAGCACAGGAUCCAAGUGAAAGCUUGUGGCAAUGCUGGAUCCAUAACUCACUGAGCAAAGCUAAGGAUUAAACGAGUAUCCUCAUGGACACUAUGUUGGGUUCUUAAACCACUGAACUACAAUGGGAAUGCCCAGGAAGAAUUCUUGACUUGUUCUUGAUCAUAAUCAUUUAACCAUGAAACACGGAAACUGCUGUAUAUUUUGUUUGAAGAUUAUUACCUUAAGAGUAAUUUUUUUCUUUUCAGGUUUUGUAUAAAUUUUCAUUAUGGAUGGCUGUUAAAUUUUAUCAGAUAAUUUUCUGCAUCUAAUGAGAUGAUCAUGGAAUAUAAUUCCUUUUAUAGAGUCAUGUCAUAGAAUUCAUUAAUUGAUUUGACUAUUAACUUUUCGAUUAACUCUUCCCUGCUGUUUUAUCCUUUUCACACGCUGUUAGACUUGGUUUGUAUUAUCAUUUCAGGUCUUGUAUCAAUGUUCACAAGUGAGGCUGGCUUGCCAUUUUCCUUCUUGCACUGAGACUGUCAGGGUCAGUAUUAAAAGCUCACACUGACCACACUUGUGGAGUUUUUUUUUUCCUAUGCCCUGAAAUAGUUUAUGCAAGACACAUUUGGGAGUUCCUAUUGUGGUUCAGCGGUGACGAACCUGACUAGUAUCCAUGAAGACAAGGGUUCAAUCCCUGGCCUUGCACAGAAGGUUAAGGCUCUGGCAUUGCCAUGUCUGUGGUGUAUGUAGAUUGCUGAUGCGGCUUGGAUCUAGUGUUGCUGUGGCUGUGCCGUAGACCCCUAGCUUGGGAACUUCCAUGUGCGAAGGUGCACCCAUAAAAAAAUAAAAGAUGCGUUUGAUCCUUAAAUAUUUGAUGGAACUUUUGGUGAACUCUCCCAACUAGUAAUUUCUUUGAGGAAAAUGUUUAUGUACUAAGAUUCAAUAGUAAUUAUGGGACUCUUUAAGUCUUCUAAUUCUUUUUGAGUCGUUUUUGAGCUCUCUUACAGUAUCUUCACAGUCAAGAUUGUCCCAUUCAGACCUUGGGUUUACUUGCAGAGAAGUCUUGGGUUUACUCUGCUGUCAUAGCCCCACCCUGAGCAAAUCUUAACUCCACAACCCACAAGCUGCCGAACCCACAGUUUAAAUGCAUCCAGUUGUAUAAAUGUCUUCAAGAGAAAGCCUGGUUUCCAUGCUGUGUCUACCUCUGUGGACUCAAAUUCUCACUUUGCUUAGGGAUUCUGACUAUUCCUUAAAUUCUUAACAGAAAGUUAAGGGUAUUUAAGUAGACUUUCCUAUUUUAUUCAGCAUUUUAGUUGGUUUUAGCCAAAGGAUGGUCGAGGUAUACUUAGAAUCCAUACCACCAGAAAUAAAGUCUUCUUGGUUAUAGGCAGACAUGAAGGAGGCAACCAUGGUGGAGAGAAAGUAGCCAGCAAUUCUGUAUGAGAAUAUCUCAGACUCUAUACCCUGUUUUUCUUAAUAAUAAGAUUCAUUAAAUUCUUAAAAUCUUAAUUCUUAAAAUGUAUUAAAUUCUUUUCAAAUUUUUAUUUCCUCAAUUGUUUGUUUUAUUCUGGACAAUACCCUGGCAAUCUAUCUCUGUGUUGCUAGGUUAACUGCUCAUAUUCUGUGUUUUUGAUACAUUAUGAGUAAAGACAUUAAUUAUAAAUAUAAUCACUGUAUUUUUUUUCUUUGUAGUAAGGAUUGCUGUAGAUGCUGGCUGGAGAUAAUAUGAAGAGCAAGGAUGGCAUAAAGUGUGGAGUGACUGAGGUGGUGUGGGUGCUGACCUUGAGCAGAAGUAGGCCCAGUGAAGGAGGCUGCAGGCUGUGGUGGGGGCAUGCUCCAGACAGAUUAUUUUGUAUCUGGGAAAAGAAAUGGAAAUAAACAAUUGAAAAUGGAAU
rnacentral:lncRNA from 1 species